AAACAUAAAAGGGUAAAUAUAAGUAGUUAGAUUGCGACAUUGGCUUGACUAGUCAUUUUGAUGUGAAAAACAAUCUUAUUACUUAUGUAAAUUCAAAUUAAAUUGAAUUAAAUUGUUAUUUGACCGGCACUCUCUUCAAAUUUAAUAAUUUUUAUGAAUUUUUUUUUUUUAAUUUUUGUGCCAUGUCUUACUCAGGCACGUGCUUUGCGCCUAGGCUUUAGACCUUUGUCACCUUGGUGCACCUUGAACCUUCAAUAACUAUGGCUGUUGACAUACCUUUACUAUUUUUUUAGCCAUUCCUUGAAUGAUCUGACACGUUCAGCAGCUGCGCAAGCUUAAUUGUCACUUUACCUUUUACCUAUUCAUUGUUGUCUUGUCACUGAGAAGCUCCACCAUUGCAGAUCUGGGAUCUGAUUCAUUCCUCUCUUCUAAUUUGUCACAUCCAAAGGCCAGUAGCUUCCAAAUAGCACAGACUAUUUUCCUUUUUUGUUUUUAAUAAUGACUUUAUUGCUUUGGAAUAUAACUUAAUGUAUGUGAGACUUGCCAGUAACGAUGGAGAAGGUGAAAGUUGUAAUAAGUUUAUCUUGAAUGAUUGUGUGUUUUGAUGGCAGACUUGGCAACUUGAUGGACAAUAAAGUUGCAUUGUUUGUUCUCACGUGUUCUGUUGCUUGGAUUGAACUUUGUAGUAGAUUUGUGAUGAAGCUUCUUGGGUUGUGGGAUGGAGAGGUGGUGCAGCUCUGACUUACAGAAAAGAGUGGGAAGAGAAAAAUAUUUAUAAUGUAUUUUUAAUUUUUUUAUAAUUAAUAUUUUAACUGGCUUGGUUAUGGGAUAUAUAUAGAAGGGCAGAAUAAGUAUUUUAUUUCAAAUUAACUCCAUAUUUGCAGCACAUAAGCAGAAAUGAAUGGCAUUACAUGAAUCAAUACUGAAGUGCUAACACGGAUUUAUAUGGUACAAGAAAGUCUAUUACUGUCCAAUAAGUGUUGGUGUGCUAACCACGGGCCAUGAUUUUGGGCUUUUCCAGUAAUUUUUUAUUUGUUUUGAACUACCAACCAUUGACAACUGCUUAGUGUAGUGUUUCUUACAAAGUAUGCAUGAAAAAUUGUGUAGUGCUGUAUUAGCCCAUUUCUUGUUGAAGGAGAAACUGCAAAAGAUGGGAAUGUUGGGUUGUCUUCUAUGCAUAGUGGGUUCCACGGUGAUUGUAUUACAUGCACCUGAAGAACAGUCCAUUAAUUCGGUUGAAGAAAUCUGGGAAUUAGCUAUCCAACCAGCAUUUCUUUUGUAUACAGCCUCUGUUGUAGCUGUAGCAUUUGUAUUGAUCUUGUAUUGUGCUCCCCGCUAUGGCCAGACCAACAUCAUCAUCUAUAUAGGAAUAUGCUCCAUAAUUGGAUCAUUGACGGUUAUGAGCAUAAAAGCUAUUGGUAUUGCAAUAGAACUAACAUUGGAGGGCAUAAACCAGGCAAAAUAUUUCCAGACAUGGGUUUUUGCAAUGGUUGCAAUUACCUGUAUCAUCACUCAAUUAAAUUAUCUAAACAUGGCAUUGGAUACUUUCAACACAGCAAUUGUUUCUCCAAUAUAUUAUGCCAUGUUCACAUCUUUUACAAUACUUGCUAGCGCUAUAAUGUUCAAGGAUUAUUCUGGCCAAAGUGCAAGCAGUAUAGCAUCUGAGCUUUGUGGGUUUAUCACUGUAUUAUCCGGGACUGCUGUGUUACAUAGUACGAGAGACCCUGAUCCACCUUUUGUAACAGAUCUUUAUACUCCAUUGUCUCCAAAAGUAUCAUGGUACAUCCAAGGCAAUGGGGAACUUUGGAAGCAGAAAGACGAAGAUGGGCAAACCUCCAAUUUUGUUACAGUUCUGCGGCAAGACUACUUCAAGUAAAUAGAAAGUACGCUUUGGGAACAAAAGGUUUGAAAAUAUCAACAUGUCUGGAGCUUCAGAAUCCUAUGGGGUUGUGCAGGCGAAAAGUAUCUGGUAAUAUUUUUUUAGGAUAAAUUCUUUGUAUUUCUUUGACCUAUUAAGAGGUCGAAAAAUAUUUGUUUCCAUUUUGUGCUGCAAUCCCGAGUGACUAU
rnacentral:misc_RNA from 1 species